ACACAUGCAAGUCGAACGAGAGAGAGGGAGCUUGCUUCCUCGAUCGAGUGGCGAACGGGUGAGUAACGCGUGAGGAACCUGCCUCAAAGAGGGGGACAACAGUUGGAAACGACUGCUAAUACCGCAUAAGCCCACGGCUCGGCAUCGAGCAGAGGGAAAAGGAGCAAUCCGCUUUGAGAUGGCCUCGCGUCCGAUUAGCUAGUUGGUGAGGUAAUGGCCCACCAAGGCGACGAUCGGUAGCCGGACUGAGAGGUUGAACGGCCACAUUGGGACUGAGACACGGCCCAGACUCCUACGGGAGGCAGCAGUGGGGAAUAUUGCACAAUGGGGGAAACCCUGAUGCAGCGACGCCGCGUGGAGGAAGAAGGUCUUCGGAUUGUAAACUCCUGUUGUUGAGGAAGAUAAUGACGGUACUCAACAAGGAAGUGACGGCUAACUACGUGCCAGCAGCCGCGGUAAAACGUAGGUCACAAGCGUUGUCCGGAAUUACUGGGUGUAAAGGGAGCGCAGGCGGGCGAUCAAGUUGGAAGUGAAAUCCAUGGGCUCAACCCAUGAACUGCUUUCAAAACUGAUUGUCUUGAGUAGUGCAGAGGUAGGCGGAGUUCCCGGUGUAGCGGUGGAAUGCGUAGAUAUCGGGAGGAACACCAGUGGCGAAGGCGGCCUACUGGGCACCAACUGACGCUGAGGCUCGAAAGUGUGGGUAGCAAACAGGAUUAGAUACCCUGGUAGUCCACACCGUAAACGAUGAUUACUAGGUGUUGGAGGAUUGACCCCUUCAGUGCCGCAGUUAACACAAUAAGUAAUCCACCUGGGGAGUACGACCGCAAGG
rnacentral:rRNA from 1 species